UGAGCUGAACCACUGCUGUGUUAACCUCACAGCACAGCAUAUUACUUAUGUACGGCUCUAGCGAUCUCGAGUAAAGAGAGUAAAACCGCAACAGGCAUCUAUUUUAACUUGGCGCUAAGUGCUGGCAGCUGGCAGUAGUAGUGCGUUGCAUAAGCGCAUGGGCAGACGUGUAUUUGAGACCUGUAGCUGUGGAGCAUCAACUCCAACGGAUCUCAUAUCUGGAACUUGUGACUUCAUUUUCGCAUGAUUUACUGUUUUUUUUUGUUGCAAUGACUUGCAAGUGCAUGCAUAGACUUUAUCGUUUGGUCUAGUUGCUACCCAAAAAACGACACCCGUACAGUUCGAUCAAUGUGAUCUAGACCAUAGCCAGCCAACCUACAUGGUCUGGUAAUUUGUUUAUGGAAGGCAUCCUGGCGUAGAGGCUGACAUUAUUUUAGUUUCAGCGCAUAACUAGGCAAACAUUUCGUGUGAUGGGACUCUCCAAACUCUGAAGGAGUGUCACUGAAGUGGGAAGACUGGGAAAACGAGAGGACUAGAGGAGAAAGAUGGAGCCCAUAUCUUUAGAUGGGGCUGCAACGGUGGAGGAGCUGGUGGAAGCGUGCAUCCAAGCCUUCGAUGAGAAGGGCACUUUGAAGGACCCCUCCAUAGUGCGCAUGUUCCUCAUGAUGCACCCAUGGUACCUCCCGUCCACCGACAUGGCUAAGAAACUACUGCUCAAAUCGCAGGAUGAGAGCUGUUCUGCUGAACGCAGGACAAGAAUCUGCCACCUGGUGAAGUACUGGAUUUCGGAGUUCCCGGCAGAGUUCAAUCUGAACCCAGAACUAGCAGAGCAGAUUAAAGACCUCAAGGACCUAUUGACCACUGAGGGGAACGAGCGCCAGAGUCAGCUCAUCGACAUCGACAGUGUACCGUCGUACAAAUGGAAGCGUCAGGUGACCCAGCGGCAACCCUCUAUGUCCAAGAAGAGGAAGAUGUCUCUGCUGUUUGACCACCUGGACUCCUGUGAGCUGGCCACACACCUCACCUACCUGGAGUACAAGUCAUUCUGCAAGAUACUGUUUCAGGACUACCACAGCUUUGUGAUGCAUGGCUGCACGGUGGACAACCCCAUCCUGGAGCGCUUCAUCACCCUGUUCAACAGUGUGUCUCAGUGGAUCCAGCUGAUGGUGCUCAGCAAGCCCACCGCCCCCCAGAGGGCUGCUGUCAUCUCCCACUUCAUCAGGGUGGCUCAGAAACUGCUCCAGCUUCAGAACUUCAACACUCUGAUGGCGGUGGUGGGAGGGCUCAGUAACAGCUCUAUAUCUCGCCUCAAAGACACCCAGUCACACAUCAGCAACGAGACCAACAAGGUGUUCAACAGCCUGAUCGAGUUAGUGACGUCUUGUGGGAACUACAGCCAGUACCGCCGCCGCUUCUCCGAGUGCACAGGCUUCCGCUUCCCCAUCCUGGGCGUGCACCUCAAGGACCUGAUUGCCGUGCAUGUGGCACUGUCCGACUGGGCCGACCCGGGCAAGAGCAGGGUCAACCUGGCGAAGUGUCAACAGCUGUAUGCCAUCCUCCAGGAGCUGGCGCUGAUCCAGACCACACCACCCACCAUUGAUUCCAACACUGACCUGCUCAAUCUACUCACAGUGUCUCUGGACCAGUACCACACCGAGGAGGAGAUCUACCAGCUGUCUCUACAGAGAGAGCCACGCAAUGCUAAACCAGCAAACUCUGGCCCCGCCCCCGCGCCCGCCCCCAAGCCCUCUAUGAUUGACGAGUGGGCAGCGUCGGUGAAGCCCAAAGCAGACCCUGCGGUCAUCAACAAACACAUAGAGAAGAUGGUGGACUCUGUCUUCAAGAACUUUGACACGGACGGGGAUGGUCACAUCUCCAGGGAGGAGUUUGAGAUCAUCAGGGACAACUUCCCCUACCUCAGCAAGUUUGGAGAACUGGACAAGAACCAAGAUGGGAAGAUUAGCAGAGAGGAGAUGAUUGACUAUUUCAUGAAGGCCAGCUCUCUGCUCAACUGUAAGAUGGGCUUCAUCCACACCUUCGCAGAGACCACCUACGUCAAGCCCACCUUUUGUGAACACUGCACUGGCUUUAUAUGGGGCUUCUACAAACAGGGAUACAAGUGUAAAGCUUGUGGAAUUAACUGUCACAAGGCGUGUCAAGGUCGUCUGGCGGUGGAGUGUCGUAAACGGACCAAGAGCAUUAGCCACGAGCACGCACCCUCUCUCCAGGCACGCUCCUACAGCUUCCCCCCUCCGGCCAACAGCCCACCCAGCCUACAGAACACAGUGAUUGUAGAGGAAGACCUAGAGGCUGUGGAGGAAGGAAUGUUUGAUAUCCAUCUAUAACCAGGUGGACUCCAAUCAAGUUGUAGAAACAUCUCAAGGAUGAUCAAUGGAAACAGGAUGCACCUGAGCUCAAUUUCAGGUCUCAUAACAAAGGGUCUGAAAACUUAUAAGUCUGCAUUCAGCCUAACACAGCUGGGAGGAAACAACAGAAGAUGUGAGCCAGAAGCAUAGCCUACUAUGGCGGCCUUAGUGCUGGAGUCUGUUCAGAAAGGUGCAAUCUGUCAUCUAGAACAGACACGAUUCCCUCUUCUAUAUGACAGACAAUCAUAUCUCCUCUACGUAAUGGAUUUCUGAGUCUGAACAUUGCAUGUAGAAAUGUCAUGAAUAGAGCAGACACGAUUCCCUCUUCUUUGACAGACACGAUUGUCUGCUCUUUUCAUUCCAUUUCUAUAUGCAACGUUCAGACUGUCUAGGAUAGAAAUCCAUUAUGUAGAGCAGAUAAGAUUGUCUGUUGUGUAGAAGAGGGACUGGUGUAAGCUCUUCAUUUCAUUUCUAUCUGCAAUGUUCAGUGUGUUUCACAUCACUGACUGAACACCCCGGUGAGACUUCCAGAGAGAGAGAAGAAAUUGCACUGAACCCAACACAGGAUACAGACAUGCUGUCACAUCGUGGACAAAAACUGCAACUGCAAAUCUUCAAGCACUCAAUACUUCUUCCUCUGUGUAUCUCAACUCCCUUUAAACAAGUGAAUGUGAUUUUUGACGAGAAUAUCUUUCUACGUUAAAUCUGCAUUUUAGAUUCUGGAUAUGGGCCAAUUUUUUCAUCUCUUACAUAUUUUUAAGCACUGAAUAUAGAAAAAAAUCCACAUAAUUGUAUUUUCAGGGUAGAGAUGUCAUUGGGUUAGUGUAAUGUUAUUGCCUCCAAGUUUCAGUGGUGUUGUGUUUUCAGUGCAUUUCGCUGUACAUUAUUCUAAAUUACUAACCUAAAUGUCUCUCUAAAAUACAAGAGGUGCUGUUGUUGCCAAGAAAGAAUGUAUAGGCUCGAUGCCACCCGGACUUCCGUCUUUCUGAGAAAGCUUUGCUUUUGUCUUAGUAGUUUGUCAUCUUGUUAAUUUUAGUGAAUGGUAUGAGAGAAAUUUCAAACACCAUGUGUUCGAUGUCCGAGAUGAAAUGUUUCAGCUCCCGAUCUAACUGUUGACUGCAUCCCUGGAUUGGGAAUCUCACUUGGAUCGAUCUCGACAGCAACAAUAUCAACGACCCAAAUGGACUGUGGGAAAACUCCAGAAUUGGAAUAUUUAUUUGAAUGCUGACGUAUUUCCCGCCCUUCUGUUACCUGAAUAUUAAUGACUGUUCUAUGGUAAUUUGACUGUGGUGCGUAAAGCAUGGUAUGUGGUUAUUAUGGUCUGUUUCGUUGCAUGGGCCACUGUACCUUUCCUCUCUGUAACUUUGGAUGUAGUUUGAAACAGUGAAUAUUAUAUAUCGUCCUGAGAUGUGAACUCUAUUUUAUGAGACAUGUUCAAGCCUGUAUUUUAUCCUUCUGAGACCCAGUAAAAAAAAGGGAUGGAAAAAGGGGUGUUUUGUAGAGAGAGAGAGGGGGGGGGGGGAUACAAAGAAAAAUAAUUUGAACAAAUAUUGUUUGUUAUUUGAUGUGCACUGUAGUGGAUAUGAGCGGGUGAUAGUAAAUAUGGAACAGUACAGUAAGUGAAGAGCAUAGUUUUGAUGUCCACUACAGAGGACCUUAAUGAACAUGCUCUUAUUGUUUCUUUUUUUUUUAACCAAGGAGAGAAAGUUGCAUGUGAUAUCAUUGAAACUCCCAUAACGUCCUCUCAAAGGUAGAACAGCACAUAAAGUAACUGACCCGUGAUUCCAGAUUUGUAUGAAAUGUGACCUAUGAUUAAUUACAAUAUGAGUCAAAUAGUUUACAUUAAAAAAAAGUAAUUAAGUAUG